rnacentral:rRNA from 1 species
CCUACGAGAUGCAGCAGUGAGGAAUAUUGGUCAAUGGGCGCGAGCCUGAACCCGCCAAGUCGCGUGAGGGAAGACGGUCCUAUGGAUUGUAAACCUCUUUUGUCGGGGAGCAAAAGACGCCACGCGUGGCGUUCCGAGCGUACCCGAAGAACAAGCAUCGGCUAACUCCGUGCCAGCAGCCGCGGUAAUACGGAGGAUGCGAGCGUUAUCCGGAUUUAUUGGGUUUAAAGGGUGCGCAGGCGGACGAUCAAGUCAGCGGUAAAAUUGAGAGGCUCAACCUCUUCGAGCCGUUGAAACUGGUGUUCUUGAGUGAGUGAGAAGUAUGCGGAAUGCGUGGUGUAGAGGUGAAAUGCAUAGAUAUCACGCAGAACUCCGAUUGCGAAGGCAGCAUACCGGCGCUCAACUGACGCUCAUGCACGAAAGUGUGGGUAUCGAACAGGAUUAGAUACCCUGGUAGUC